AUACGGAGGGUGCAAGCGUUAUUCGGAAUCACUGGGCGUAAAGGACGCGUAGGCGGGUUGGCAAGUCAGAUGUGAAAGCCUACAGCUUAACUGUAGAACUGCAUUUGAAACUGCUAACCUAGAGUAUGGGAGGGGGAGAUGGAAUUAGUUGUGUAGGGGUAAAAUCCGUAGAUAUCACUAGGAAUACCGAAAGCGAAGGCGAUCUCCUGGAACAUAACUGACGCUAAGGCGUGAAAGCGUGGGGAGCAAACAGGAUUAGAAACCCCAGUAGUCC
rnacentral:rRNA from 1 species